rnacentral:rRNA from 1 species
AUUGAACGCUGGCGGCAUGCUUUACACAUGCAAGUCGAACGGCAGCACGGGUGCUUGCACCUGGUGGCGAGUGGCGGACGGGUGAGUAAUGCAUCGGAACGUGUCCUGAAGUGGGGGAUAACGCAUCGAAAGAUGUGCUAAUACCGCAUAUUCUCUGAGGAGGAAAGUAGGGGAUCGAAAGACCUUAUGCUUUUGGAGCGGCCGAUGUCUGAUUAGCUAGUUGGUAGGGUAAUGGCUUACCAAGGCGACGAUCAGUAGUUGGUCUGAGAGGACGACCAGCCACACUGGGACUGAGACACGGCCCAGACUCCUACGGGAGGCAGCAGUGGGGAAUUUUGGACAAUGGGCGCAAGCCUGAUCCAGCAAUGCCGCGUGAGUGAAGAAGGCCUUCGGGUU